rnacentral:rRNA from 1 species
GUCUCUUCGGGGAUGAUUAAACCGGCGCACGGGUGAGUAACACGUGAGUGACCUGCCUUUUAGACUGGAACAACUUACCGAAAGGUGAGCUAAUGCCGGAUGAGUUAUAUAAGUGCAUGUUUAUAUAGGAAAAGUUGGGGAGACCUGACGCUGAAAGAUGGACUCGCGUCCCAUUAGCUAGUUGGUAGGGUAAUGGCCUACCAAGGCGACGAUGGGUAGCCGGCCUGAGAGGGUGGCCGGCCACACUGGGACUGAGACACGGCCCAGACUCCUACGGGAGGCAGCAGUGGGGAAUUUUGCGCAAUGCUCGUAAGAGUGACGCAGCGACGCCGCGUGAAUGACGAAGGCCUUCGGGUCGUAAAGUUCUUUCGACAGGGAAGAAAAUGCCUAUAAGUAACUGUGUAUGUAUUGACGGUACCUGUAUAAGCAGCCCCGGCUAACUCCGUGCCAGCAGCCGCGGUAAUACGGAGGGGGCGAGCGUUGUUCGGAGUGACUGGGCGUAAAGAGCACGUAGGCGGUGUUGUAAGUCAUUAGUCAAAGACUAGAGCUCAACUUUAGUAAGGCUAGUGAUACUAUAAUACUAGAGUAUCAGAGAGGAUUGCAGAAUUCCUGGUGUAGCGGUGAAAUGCGUAGAUAUCAGGAGGAAUACCGUUAGCGAAGGCGGCAAUCUGGCUGGAAACUGACGCUGAGGUGCGAAAGCGUGGGUAGCAAACAGGAUUAGAUACCCUGGUAGUCCACGCUGUAAACGAUGGAUGC